CCUUGAAGUUAUAAGAAAUAAUCAACGUGACUUCAACCUACCUGAUAUUUCAUGGUCUCCUCGUACUGACUCAUUUGUCGCUAUGCCGUUAUCCGCCCAUGAUCUUGUGGAUGGCCUUUUAGAUUUAUCGUUACAGCAAACCCGUCUGAAAUCACAGUAUGUAGUAUUUACGCUCUUGUUGUACCUGAAGACCCAUAUCAUCCAACUAUGGAACUGACAAUUUGCCUCCCCUACUCUGAUACCAACUAAA